rnacentral:rRNA from 1 species
UACGUAGGGUGCAAGCGUUUGUCCGGAAUUAUUGGGCGUAAAGAGCUCGUAGGCGGUUUGUUGCGUCGGCUGUGAAAUCCCGAGGCUCAACCUCGGGUCUGCAGUCGAUACGAGCAAACUAGAGUGUUGCAGGGGAGACUGGAAUUCCUGGUGUAGCGGUGAAAUGCGCAGAUAUCAGGAGGAACACCCGGUGGCGAAGGCGGGGUCUGCUGGGCAACAACUGA